UUCUUACUCCCUCCAUCCAACAAAAGAUGUCUCAAGUUUGUCAAAAUUUGGAUGUAUCUAGACAUGACUUAGUGUAUAAAUGCAUUCAAAUUUAGUCAAAGUUGAGACAUCCUUUGUUGGACGGAGGGAGUACUCA
rnacentral:pre_miRNA from 1 species